rnacentral:rRNA from 1 species
GUGAACUGCGGAANGAUCAUU